UUUUCCAUUUCCAAUUCUGACUUUGGAGAUGAAGCUUGUGUCAAGUUUUCUGAAUAGUUCUUGGUCAUAAGUCAUGUGGUUUGUACAGCCACCGUCUAUUAGCCACCUUUCUGUGGAGCUUAAAGUAGCAAAGCAGGAUACUGCAAAUAGCUGAUCUUCCUGAGGUUGUUCUACUACAGCUUUUGCUUCAUCUUGCUGUUGUUGAGACUUACAAAUCCUCUCCAUAUGCCCUAAUUGACCACAGUUGUUGCAUUUUGCAUUUUGCCUCCACCAACACUUAUUCUGUGGAUGAUUGGUUUUUUUUGCAGCAAGGACAAGAUGGAAAGUCCUGAGAGGUUUUGCCGCUGUUAUUAUUGUAGUUGUUUGAGCUUCCUGACUUGUUGUUCUGCUCCUUUUUCUUGUUCUUGCCACCUUAGUUAUUCUGAGAUUUAGCUUGAAAAGCACCUUUCAGAUAACCUUCCUGCCUCAUAAGCCUUCUUUGUUCUUGAGCUUGCAGAGCAUUCAACAAUUCUGCCAAGGUAAUUCUUGACAAAUCUCUUGAGUUUUCCAAAGAAGUAAUUGUCGCUUCAAAUUUCUCAGGAAUUGUGACAAGAAUUUUUUGAACAAUUCUAGAAUCAGAAAACUCGGUUUAUUGGCAAGACUGAGAAGCUUGUCCGCAUAAUCUUUGAUUGUCUCUUACUCUUUCAUCCAUUGCAUCUCAAAUUCUUGAACCAAAGUUAGCUCUUGCAUUCCUUUGAUCUUUUCACUUCAUACUCUUGCUUUAACAAAUCCCAAAUCUCUUUAGCUGUUUUCAUUGUCAUUAUUCUGUUGAAAAUAAUGGAAGAGACGGCUGUAAACAAGGUUGCUCUUGCUUUUGAUUUUCUUAGCUUCUUUUCUUUAUGAUUUUUCAUUUGAGCAAGAGUUGGAUGGCCUAGUAAGUCAGGAACUUCAUAUUCUUGCUCUACAGCUUUCCAUGGAUCAUUAGCAUCAAGAUAGGCUUCCAUUUUGACAUCCCACAUUUGAUAAUUUGUUCCAUCAAAUGCUGGAUGUGGGAUUUACGUGAAAGAAACUUCUAAUUCCAUCUUAGGCUGUUUGUAGGUUUUUGUGUUUUUGACUUUUUAAAUCUCACAUAUCUCUUAAGAUCGGUGCUCUGAUACCAGAAUGUUGGUAUGCAAAUUAACA
rnacentral:lncRNA from 1 species